rfam:Brassica napus, WGS project CCCW01000000 data, contig: 2621
GUUCUUCGGGGACAUCCAAGAAAAUUCGAAUGAUAUAGAGAAAAUUAGUAUGGUCCCUGUGCAAGGAUGACAAGCACAAACCGAUUCCAUUAUUCUUUUU